rnacentral:rRNA from 1 species
AUUAGAUACCCUGGUAGUCCUUGUCGUAAACGAUGUGUACUUGAUGUAGUUAGGCUCAACCCUGACUGUGUCGUAGCUAACGCGAUAAGUACACCGCCUGAGGAGUACGCCCGCAAGGGUGAAACUCAAAAGAAUUGACGGGGGCCCGCACAAGCAGUGGAGCAUGUGGUUUAAUUCGAUGCAACGCGAAGAACCUUACCUGGGCUCGAAAUGCAGAGGGCGAUAUCAGAAAUGGUAUUUUCCGUAAGGACUUCUGUAUAGGUGCUGCAUGGCUGUCGUCAGCUCGUGCCGUGAGGUGUUGGGUUAAGUCCCGCAACGAGCGCAACCCUUAUCAUUAGUUGCCAACACGUAAGGUGGGGACUCUAAUGAGACUGCCUAGGUUAACUAGGAGGAAGGUGAGGAUGACGUCAAGUCCGCAUGGCCUUUAUGUCCAGGGCUACACACGUGCUACAAUGGUCGGUACAGAGGGCAGCAAGACCGUAAGGUGGAGCAAAUCCCAGAAAGCCGAUCUCAGUUCAGAUUGUGGUCUGCAACUCGACCACAUGAAGUCGGAAUUGCUAGUAAUGGCGAGUCAGCAACAUCGCCGUGAAUACGUUCCCGGGCCUUGUACACACCGCCCGUCACAUCAUGGGAGUUGGUUUCGCCCAAAGUGGCUGACUUAACCGCAAGGAAAGAGGUCACCAAGGUGAGGCCGAUGACUGGGAUGAAGUCGUAACAAGGCAUC